GACAGCAGCCGCCGCGGGAAAACGUAGGUGGCAAGCGUUGUCCGGAAUUAUUGGGCGUAAAGGGCUCGCAGGCGGUUUCUUAAGUCUGAUGUGAAAGCCCCCGGCUCAACCGGGGAGGGUCAUUGGAAACUGGGAAACUUGAGUGCAGAAGAGGAGAGUGGAAUUCCACGUGUAGCGGUGAAAUGCGUAGAGAUGUGGAGGAACACCAGUGGCGAAGGCGACUCUCUGGUCUGUAACUGACGCUGAGGAGCGAAAGCGUGGGGAGCGAACAGGAUUAGAUACCCCCGUAGUCCCUGUCUCUUAUAC
rnacentral:rRNA from 1 species